AGACUUGCCUGGCAAGAGAGAUAUCAUAAUUAUAAAUAUCAUGAGUAUCAGGAAUAUGGUUUUCCUAAGAUAUACUCUAGAUGUGCUGACCCCAUGGUUUCUCCAAAUGUGGGGAAACCCACUGCAUAAUGUGUGGUAGUGGGCGUUUACAUUUAUGCUUCUUUCUG
ensembl:snRNA U1 U1 spliceosomal RNA